AUAAUUUUGCACAUCAGUUUUUCUUGAGGUGUAAAAUACUAGCAAUAAUAAAUAAGCUAUGUUAUAAAAAUCUAAAAGUUAUUUAACAUGAUUUAUCUUAUUUGUUCUGUGUGACAGAGUUUGGGAGAACAGCUACCUACGGUACCAUUGAAGCAUAUGCACAACUAUGAAAUCAUGAAAGUGUGAACCUAGCCAAGGUCUCAAUCUUUACGGGUCCCACUUUUCUUAUCUUCACAAACAAGGAAGUUGGGUUAGAUUAAGUGUUUAAUGCUAACAUCCUUCUCUCUCUCUCUUUUAAAAACUAGAGCAUUUAUUAUAUGACUAAUUAUUAUUAUUAUUAUUAUUUACAUUUUAAUUUUUCUCUUAAAUUUCUUUUCUUUUUUAAAUUAUUAUUAUACUUUAAGUUUUAGGGUACAUGUGCACAAUGUGCAGGUUAGUUACAUAUGUAUACAUGUGCCAUGCUGGUAUACUGCACCCACUAACUCGUCAUCUAGCAUAGACAUCUACAGAACUCUCCACCCCAAAUCAACAGAAUAUACAUUUUUUUCAGCACCACACCACACCUAUUCCAAAAUUGACCACA
rnacentral:lncRNA from 10 species